CUGUCUCUUGCUUCAACGCUGUUUGGAUGGAACAG
rfam:Myotis davidii contig61179, whole genome shotgun sequence.